rnacentral:rRNA from 1 species
AGACAGAGGUGGCAAGCGUUGUUCGGAAUUACUGGGCGUAAAGUGCGCGUAGGCGGAGAUGUAAGUCAGACGUGAAAUCCCGGGACUCAACCCCGGAACUGCAUCUGAAACUGCAUCCCUUGAGGAUAGGCGGAGAAAACGGAAUUCCAUGUGUAGCGGUGAAAUGCGUAGGUAUAUGGAAGAACACCCGUGGCGAAGGCGGUUUUCUAGCUUAUUCCUGACGCUCAGGCGCGAAAGCUAGGGGAGCGAACAGGAUUAGAAACCCCAGUAGUCC